AUUGAACGCUGGCGGCAUGCCUUACACAUGCAAGUCGAACGGCAGCACGGGUGCUUGCCCCUGGUGGCGAGUGGCGAACGGGUGAGUAAUACAUCGGAACAUGUCCUGUAGUGGGGGAUAGCCCGGCGAAAGCCGGAUUAAUACCGCAUACGAUCCACGGAUGAAAUCGUGGGACCUUCGGGCCUCGCGCUAUAGGGUUGGCCGAUGGCUGAUUAGCUAGUUGGUGGGGUAAAGGCCUACCAAGGCGACGAUCAGUAGCUGGUCUGAGAGGACGACCAGCCACACUGGGACUGAGACACGGCCCAGACUCCUGCGGGAGGCAGCAGUGGGGAAUUUUGGACAAUGGGCGAAAGCCUGAUACAGCAAUGCCGCUUGUGUGAAGAAGGCCUUCGGGUUGUAAAGCACUUUUGUCCGGAAAGAAAUCCUUGACUCUAAUAAAGUCGGGGGAUGACGGUACCGGAAGAAUAAGCACCGGCUAACUACGUG
rnacentral:rRNA from 1 species